GACGAACGCUGGCGGCAUGCUUAACACAUGCAAGUCGAACGGAAAGGCCCCUUUGGGGGUACUCGAGUGGCGAACGGGUGAGUAACACGUGAGUAACCUGCCCUUGACUUCGGGAUAACUUCAGGAAACUGGGGCUAAUACCGGAUAGGAAUCCUUGCUGCAUGGUGGGGGUUGGAAAGCUUCGGCGGUUUUGGAUGGACUCGCGGCUUAUCAGCUUGUUGGUGGGGUAGUGGCUUACCAAGGCUUUGACGGGUAGCCGGCCUGAGAGGGCGACCGGCCACAUUGGGACUGAGAUACGGCCCAGACUCCUACGGGAGGCAGCAGUGGGGAAUAUUGCACAAUGGGCGGAAGCCUGAUGCAGCAACGCCGCGUGCGGGAUGACGGCCUUCGGGUUGUAAACCGCUUUCAGCAGGGGCGAAGCUUGUGGUGACGGUACCUGCAGAAGAAGCACCGGCUAACUACGUG
rnacentral:rRNA from 1 species